GGCUGUGGCUUAGUGGUAGAGCGCUUGCCUAGCAUGUGUGAGGCCCUGGGUUCAAUCCUCAGCACCA
rnacentral:tRNA from 1 species